CAAGAACCCAACACAGCGUCCCCAAUCACUAGUACUCUAGUGUGGGAGCGCUUAACUGGCGCCCGAGCAGGGACCCACAUUCUUCACGGAAGUAAAGGGAAAUGGUGACGUGUCAAUAAUUCUAUAAAAAUGACUUAUUAAAAAAGCAAGUACAAAUAAAUUGUUCCAAUCCAAUUGGGCAAUUGUUGGCAAAAUUACGAAGUACUUCUGCGAUUUGCAAACAAGUGUUGGUGCACUAGAUAAUUCUAUAACAUA